rnacentral:rRNA from 1 species
UACGUAGGGAGCAAGCGUUGUUCGGAAUCACUGGGCGUAAAGGGAGCGUAGGUGGGAGGAUAAGUUAGAAGUUAAAUGUGCAGGCUUAACCUGUAAUCUGCUUUUAAUACUGUCCUUCUUGAGUAUGGGAGAGGAUAACGGAAUUCCAGGUGUAGCGGUGGAAUGCGUAGAUAUCUGGAAGAACACCAGUUGCGAAGGCGGUUAUCUGGCCCAAUACUGACACUGAGGCUCGAAAGCUAGGGGAGCAAACAGG